rnacentral:rRNA from 1 species
GAUAAACGCUGGCGGCGUGCUUAACACAUGCAAGUCGAACGGAGUAUUUCUCCCGAGACCGAGGAAGCUUGCUUCCAAAGAAUCAUUUGAAAUACUUAGUGGCGGACGGGUGAGUAACGCGUGGGUAACCUGCCUCACACUGGGGGAUAGCAGUUGGAAACGACUGAUAAUACCGCAUAAGCGCACAAUACCGCAUGGUAUGGUGUGAAAAACUCCGGUGGUGUGAGAUGGACCCGCGUCUGAUUAGCCAGUUGGCGGGGUAACGGCCCACCAAGGCUACGAUCAGUAGGGGUUCUGAGAGGAAGGUCCCCCACAUUGGUACUGAGACACGGACCAAACUCC